AAAGAGUGCCUCUGCAUAUGCACUCGCUAUUUGAUGGGCCUGCGGGACAUUAGCUUGAUGGUGGGGUAACGGCCUACCUUGGCGACGAUGUCUAGCGGAUCUGAGAGGAUGAUCCGCCACACUGGAACUGAGACACGGUCCAGACUCCUACGGGAGGCAGCAGUGGGGAAUAUUGCGCAAUGGGCGAAAGCCUGACGCAGCAACGCCGCGUGAGUGAGGAAGGUUUUCGGAUUGUAAAGCUCUGUCAAUGUGGAAAAACAGCUUAGGGUCUAAUAGGCCUUAAGUUUGAUGGUACACACAAAGGAAGCACCGGCUAACUUCGUGCCAGCAGCCGCGGUAAUACGAAGGGUGCAAGCGUUGUUCGGAUUUAUUGGGCGUAAAGCGCGCGCAGGCGGAUAGCUAAGCCAGAUGUGAAAUCUCGGGGCUCAACCCCGAAACUGCGUCUGGAACUGGUUAUCUAGAAUCUCAGAGGGGGAGGCGGAAUUUCACAUGUAGGGGUAAAAUCCGUAGAGAUGUGAAGGAACACCAGAGGCGAAGGCGGCCUCCUGGAUGAGUAUUGACGCUGAGGCGCGAAAGCGUGGGUAGCAAACAGGAUUAGAUACCCUGGUAGUCCACGCCGUAAACGAUGUGCACUAGAUAUGGUGGGAUUGACCCCUGCUGUGUCGUAGCUAACGCAUUAAGUGCACCGCCUGGGAAGUACGGUCGCAAGACUAAAACUCAAAGGAAUUGACGGGGGCCCGCACAAGCGGUGGAUUAUGUGGUUUAAUUCGAAGCAACGCGCAGAACCUUACCUAGGCUUGAAAUCCUGUGAAUCCUCCAGAAAGGGAGGAGUGCUCUUCGGAGAAUACAGUGACAGGCGC
rnacentral:rRNA from 1 species